AAAAAAGAGGGGGUUCUCCACAGGCAUUUUAUGAAGACACCUAAGAGGAGGAAGGGAGGGGGUGAGGACCCCUGCGGGUCGCAGGCUGCCUGUUGGGCAGAAUUCCAGUGGAACAGCAUGUACCUCUUUUCUGAGGACAAGAUCAGGACCUGAGAACAAGACCACACUGUAAUGUGAAGCUUGGCUGUGAAAAUACCUGUCUGCUGCUGUAAGUUGGAAUACAAACAGAUCAGGCUAUAGGAGCAAUCUCAAGCAGAAAAUCAAAGAUGAGUGAUAAUAAUGAGAAGAGACACUCCUGAGGUCCAGGGUAGAGAGCUAUUCUGCUAGUCUGGAGGUGCUUUGUUUUUCUCUCCUUUGAAAGAAGUCAUUGAUUCCUGCAGAAACCUGGCUGGAACAAGGAAAUCCUGCCUCUUGUGUUAACGAGAUCCUGAGGCUGGGUGGCUAAUGGAGACACCUUGCCUCUCUGAAAGAUACUGUGGUUCCUGGCCCUCUCCCAGCUGAACAGCAUGCUGUCUGCCUGCUUGCCAUCCUGGGUGUCCUGCACUGCUGAUGUCUCUUCUAAAUCAUGCAUGAAGCCCUUCCAGUAACAUCAAUACAACAGGUGCCAUUUCCAGAACACAGUGGGGAAGGAAGUUACCUGCUGUCUGAGGAGAGGAUGCUGCUCUCUGGGGAUAAAGAUGCAGGAUGCCUGCCCAGAGAAGAUUCCUUGGCAAGAGAAAACUAUUUAUGCAACUGAAAGCUCUGACUUGUUCUUUUAUUUUCUUUUUUGAGAUGUGGUGAUGGGAAGUAAUUUGUGCAUCACCACAGAUUCAGACGUAAUAUUUUAAAUAAUGUAGAUGGUUCUGUGGGAAGCCCACAUUCCUGGGCAGAAGGUGGUCCUCCCUGUUGCAGGCUCCUCAUCCAGAAGCAAUGAACAGAAAUAACUGAGUGCAUACUGCCCAGUCUUUCCCAACUCCCUAAAAACAGGUAGAAAGUCCUUGAAAAGACAAGGUGACCCUGAAUGUGAAAAGGGUGAAAAAAAAUCUAAUUAAGGCAUUUUCAGCAAUCUUAGGGCCUCCUAUUAAUGUCUGAAGGUUCAGCUCAGAGCUAGCUGUUAUUUGGGGGUAGAUGAGUUGGACAGAUUUUUCUCCCAGCCCUUGCCUUCCUAUAUAUUUGUUUUGUGUAGAGUGUAUGAUGUGCCUUACUCUCCCUUCAUAUCUAAUGUGCACUGAUUCAGCACAGUCCCAGGGUUUAUUGACUGAUAUCAAGGAACCCAUGUCACUGACUAUUUCUGCAAUAUUUUAAGUGAUUUCUGUGCAUGUUUGAAGUUCUCUGGGUGGUUAGAGGAUAUUUUAAAGCAGGUGUCUGUCUUUUACUUCCAUUUACAUCCUUGUUUGCAGUCUGCAUGCUUGGAGCUGGCCGUGUUUGGAGGAGAAAGGCAGCCAAACUGAUGCUAAUUCUGGCAGAUGGGAUGAGCAUGCAGUCAUCCAACAACACUACACGUUGCCCUUUGCAAAGCAUUCAGUGAUCCAUUCUGGCUUAGUGUGCCAGGAUAUCAACUACAAGGGAAUGAAAUGCCAAUAUGUUUGUUCCAGCCACCUUUCUAGGGAGCAGUAAUAUUUUGGCAGAAGGGUAAGGUGGUAGAUGUCCUAAGUACAUCUCUAAGCACCUAGUAAAAUGAUUCGUCUUCCUCACCUUGAAAAUUUGGUAGCACUGUUAUAUAAAUAACUUGCUCCUACUUUUAAAUAUAAGCACUGUUUCAGGCUAUUAAAAUUGUAUAAGCAUUUGCUCAACUCCCACUCAGGCAGUGCUGAGUACUAGAAGAGGUGUUCAGCUGUUUUGGCAGGCAGAUUCACCUAUCAGACAGAAAUGCUUAAGGCAUUCUGACAGUUCUGGGUUUCAUUGUGACAGUGAAAAUCCUGUUUUUCCUGAUUCACUGAGAUUUAGGUUUCUAAAAACAGUAAUCCAGAGAAGUCAUAGCAAAGGGUCAUGUAUGCAGAGCACCCCAUACAACAGAGCUGUAUUAUGGCAUUCCAUUCCUUAUGAUGUGUUACGUUCAUGUCCACAUCUGUCAAGCAGUUAUACUGAGUUUUGUUGGACUAGAGUUAAUUUUCUUCAUGGCACCUCCUGUAGUGCUGUGUCUUAGAUUUGUGACCAAAACCAGCACUGGUAACAUGCUGUAUUUCACUAUUUGAGCUGAAUGCUGUAUGCACAGCACAAAGAACUUCUGUUUCUCACUCUGCCCUUCCAGUGAGUAGAAUGGGGGGUGCACAAGAGAUGGAGGGGGAACACAACGAGGCAGAUGGCUUGAACUAAGCAGAGAUAUCCCAUGUCAUAUAGUGCAACUCUCAGCUAUAGAAAGGGAGAGCAGGAUGGGGUGAGGUUUAGGAAUCAGCAUUCUUUUUGCACAGGAUCUGGCUGAAUUGGUGGAAGAUGAGAGCAAUUACCUUUGCAUUACUUGUGUUGUUUGCUAUCUCUUUCUUCUACUUCUUCUUCACUUAAUAAAUAAUUUUAAUCUCAAACCACCAGAUUUUCUUGCUUUUACUUUUCCUUUCCUCCUCCCUUGUCCCAGUGUGUGUGGGAGGGGGAGUGAGAUAGCUGCUCAGUGGUGCUUAUCUGUCUGCUUGUGUUAACCCACAGCAGCAACAUUUUGUGGUUCAUGGAUCAGUUAUAGACCUUCAAAGUCAGGAUAUCUGUUUCUUCCUCAGAGUGCUGUACAUCACUAUUGAUAUUUUUCAUGAGGUAAGAGCAAAAUAUUUGUUGUUCAUCACUAGAUGUAGAGUACUCUUGUCUAUCACAAUUAUAGCUAUCUUGUCUGAGGACUUGGAAGGGAAAAUGGAUAUUUCAUCCUCUUUUACUGCUAAAUUGGCCCUUUCUUCUCUUGCUUACCCAACCUACUUUCUCAUCCUAUCCCACCUUUGCACUGCAGCUGUUAACUGGAGGUAAAGUUAAUGUAUGUUAAGUUCACCUCCCUACUGUUGUUUGCAUCUUGCAUGACCAUACUCACUCUUUUCUUCACAAAAUAAAAUAUCCCUCCAAUGUGACCUGUGUGGCUGCUCCUACGUGUCCUUCAAACUUCUUGGCAAGAUUCACUUUAUCAUUAACUCUUUCUUGUAUUAGUGGCUGAGUUAUAGAUGGAUCUCUGUCCUUCCAUGGAGAAAGAGGGAAGUACAAGGAAAAUUUCCUUUGCAUGGAUGGAUAGCUUGUUGUUUUUUGUUCAUGAGAGGAAAUUAUUCUUUUUCCUGGCUUUUCAGUUUUCUAAGAUUUUCUGCCAUCUGUUAAUAUGGCCAUCUAGUUUAAAGUUUUUUAAUGCCCCUAUCAUCAGUGCAUCUUUGUUUAUCUUCAGCAUCCUUAUCCCCUUGGAAUAAAUGCUUUUGCACGUGGCAGGGAUUUUUGUUGCUUUUAAAAUGAGCAGAUAUGAAGAAAGAGGUCAGGAGGAAAAGGAGCAUUACAGUUGAGCAUUUCAGCCUCCAAGGAGGUUCUUGAUUAUUGAAAGGCUUUUAUGAAGAGAAAGAUUUUGCUGCAUUAUCGAAUUCUAAUUCUUACUUCUGGAGCUACUUAUACAUGCAGCUUCCCUCAACAAGACUGAUUUGUUCAUGGCUCUCUUAAAGUAUAUUUUACAUAGUCUCACUGCUGUGGAACUGCUAUGAUAUUUCUUAAGAUGAUGUUGGGACAUGAGCUACUACUGUAUUCUAACAGGCAUUGGGAGUAGACAGUGAACAGUCUGAAAGCAGAGCUGCCAUGCUUUCGUCUGUCUAAAAUUGGAUGGAGAUCUCAGACUAACUAGAGCCUUCAUGCUGUCAUUCUGCUUUCAUCCUUGUGGUUUACAGAUUGUGAAAUGAAAGCCAACCAGGAGGAAAAGUGUGGAAGCUGGCAAAAAUAUUUUCCAGGAUGCAUUGUUUAGAAAUCAAGACUGUCUGGAUGUCAGAGUGCGUGAUGGUCAUCACCUACAAUAUGAGAACAGCCCUACAUAACAUUUGGACAGCACAUUUUGCAUUGGGGGUGCUAUCACCUAUUGACUGUUGUUGCUAUUACCAAGUUAGUAGAUGGGAAGAGUAAUAUAGGUCUUUCAUGCCCAAUACCUUUUCCUUCAGAAGAAUGUAACCUGUUGUUCUGCGGUUGAUAUGCCUACACUU